AUUGAACGCUGGCGGCAGGCCUAACACAUGCAAGUCGAGCGGAUGAAGGGAGCUUGCUCCUGGAUUCAGCGGCGGACGGGUGAGUGAUGCCUAGGAAUCUGCCUGGUAGUGGGGGAUAACGUCCGGAAAAGGGCGCUAAUACCGCAUACGUCCUGAGGGAGAAAGUGGGGGAUCUUCGGACCUCACGCUAUCAGAUGAGCCUAGGUCGGAUUAGCUAGUUGGUGGGGUAAAGGCCUACCAAGGCGACGAUCCGUAACUGGUCUGAGAGGAUGAUCAGUCACACUGGAACUGAGACACGGUCCAGACUCCUACGGGAGGCAGCAGUGGGGAAUAUUGGACAAUGGGCGAAAGCCUGAUCCAGCCAUGCCGCGUGUGUGAAGAAGGUCUUCGGAUUGUAAAGCACUUUAAGUUGGGAGGAAGGGCAGUAAGUUAAUACCUUGCUGUUUUGACGUUACCAACAGAAUAAGCACCGGCUAACUUCGUG
rnacentral:rRNA from 1 species